rnacentral:rRNA from 1 species
CCUACGGGAGGCAGCAGUGGGGAAUAUUGCACAAUGGGGGAAACCCUGAUGCAGCGACGCCGCGUGAGUGAAGAAGUAUCUCGGUACGUAAAGCUCUAUCAGCAGGGAAGAAAAUGAAGGUACCUGUCUAAGAAGCCACGGCUAACUACGUGCCAGCAGCCGCCGUAAUACGUAGGGGGAACGCGUUAUCUGGAGUUACUGGGUGAAAAGGGAGCGGAGACGGCAGCACAAGUCUGGAGUGAAAUCCCGGGGCUGAACCCCGGAACUGCUUUGGAAACUGGGCGGCUGGAGUGCAGGAGGGGUGAGCGGAAUUCCUGGUGUAGCGGUGAAAUGCGUAGAUAUUAGGAGGAACACCGGUGGCGAAGGCGGCUUACUGGAC